CAGAAUAUUUGCUUUGUAGAAGUGUAGACAUUGCUAUGGGGGAUUUUAGGGCCCUAUUUAACCCCAGCGCUUUUCAAGGGAAUAUUUGUGCACUCCACCUUUAAAUACAGUACAGACAUAUUUACAGCUCUAUUUUGUUAGUAGCAGGAAGGCAAGGUUAGUGUGUAUCAGUGUAUCACAGAGCUCCACAUAAAUAAAACUCCCAG